GCCUUGGACUUUCACAACAUAGCGAACUGAAACAUCUAAGUAGCUAAAGGAAAGGAAAUCAACCGAGACUCCGUUAGUAGCGGCGAGCGAAAGCGGAUUAGGCUUCUCUCUUCAUUCGAUUUGUUGAGAAUUGAAUGAUGGAAAAACCAUUAAAGGAAUUGUGAAAAAGAUUGGAAAUAUCUGCCGCAAUUGUGAGACACUGCAACUUCUCUUCCCUUCUCUUGACAUGUCUGAGCUGAGCUGGCUUGAAUGCAUUCGUGAGAGC
rnacentral:ncRNA from 1 species